rnacentral:rRNA from 1 species
UGCAGAAUCCCGUGAACCAUCGAGUUUUUGAACGCAAGUUGCGCUCAAAGCCACUAGGCUGAGGGCACGCCUGCCUGGGCGUCA